UAUAUUUUCUCCCCCUUUACAAUAUGAUAUUCUCUUUCUAUUUAUAGAGGAUAUUAGUAAUCAGGAUUUCCCAAAAUGAAACAAGGAAACUACCCAUUUCUAAUUACUACAGUACAUUAAAUGUAAAUAUUGGUCACAUGUUACAUUUAAUUUAUUGUAUUUCCCGUAAUUACUUUGAUUCGAUCUACAUUAUAAUAAGGAAAGGAUCCCUUAAUUUGUGGGAUUCGGUAAGCAGCAAUUUAGGUAACGCGCUUUUCCUGAUUUACUCGGGUUGAAUAUUGGAACCGACCUUCAUCUCAAACAUGGGGUAAAGGUACAUUCCUUUCGAUGAUUGCUUGAUCUGAAUACCAUACGACCUUGAUUCCUGAACCUAGCUAAAUGCAUCUCCUACGAUCUGGUUGAAUACCUCUCCCUUAGUUCGUGGCCUUUCCUGGCUUGAUCAUCUAUCGUUUUGGUAUCUUUCAACUUUCAAGCGUAUUCAAUAAUUUACGAGAUGAAAUUACACGUCUGGAGCUAAUUUAUAUUGAUCUCAGAAUUUAGGUAUAACAUUUUUCCCCAAGUCUCUGCUCGUGCGAGGAGAUCUUAUUGUGGCAUUAAUGCGAACACAGUUGAGACUUUUUAUUGACUCGCCUUGGUUUAUGUGUACACCCACCCAAUUGAGUGCUAGUGAACACGUCUUCACCCAAAUUGCGACUGCUUGAAUUUUGAGUACAUCUGAUAGGAGGUGUCCCUAUACCUUUUUGUUGUCGUUUCCAUCUUUAAUCAAAGCCCUUCGAUCUAGAAAUUUUAGAUCCAAUGACUCAAGCUAUCCCGUAAUCUCCCUUAUAAAUACUCCUAAAAGUCAUUCAUUCUUUUAUUUUCAACCGUCCCUUUCAUCUUAGAGAGAGAUUCUCCCAGGCCAUGUUAUCACUGUUGUCGAAGAUUUCAAAGACCAGAGUAAUCUUAGGCUUAUACAUUCUGGGUAUGGUCAAUACUACUUGUUUAGUUCAAUUUGGAGGCAAGUGGAAUGAAAAAAACGAGUACGUAGGGUACACAAUGACUGAGAUAUUAAUUCCACCAAAUUGUUCUCUUGACAACUUGGUAAAUUUGAUAAAAAAAAAUGAGAUAAAGGAUACAAGAGCAACUAUUGAAGUUUCUUAUCAAGUUGCCAAAGGAACAACACCAAUGAAGUUGGAAACAGACAACUUAUUCUUGUUCUACAUGGAAAUAAAGAAAAAAGUUGUUGCAAUAAUAACAGACUUACCAUUGUGUGUUACUAUAGUUCAAGAAUCAUGCAAUGAAAAUAACAUUUUUCUAAUAACAAAUCAGAAACGCUAUUAGAAAGAGGAAGACUUGCAGAAAUGCUCCAAUUGAGAAGACAAACAAGUAGAAAAAACAAAAGACAUAGCACAUUUCACAUCAAAACAAACCUAUCAUAGCUUUAUUUAUUAAAGGAAUGGCUUUCAUAUUCAUCAAUUGUUGUUUGUUUCAAAUUCAAAUACAUUGAUUGAUUACACAAA